GCUGUAAUAUAAUCCCUUGUGUAUUUGAGACAAUCACCCCCUUAUCUCGUCACGUGACAUUUUUUCCUUUGUGCCUCAAUAUACUUGCCGCCGUUUGUGAAGUUCGCCGGCUAGCCAAACCAUCUUAUUUUAUUAACUAUGAUUGAACUUGUUACGAGUAUGAGCAGGGCAAGCUGAAAAUUAAUUCUACUUGACUACGGCUGGGAAUCCAACCCGCGACGUCCGUUACAUUUCUAGAACGACGAUGAAAAUGCCUGUAUUGAAACAACAAGAAUAACACAAAUUUCCGAAGAAAUAGAACAGAUGAAAUUCGGAAUCUUUGGGUACUUGUUAUGUAGAAUAAUGAAAAAAAAAUUCUCGAACUCAAAUUUUGUUAACCGCGGGUGGUGUCAUUUCGAACAAAAUAAAAAUGUCUUGCGUACGAGACUUAAA